GCUGGCGGCGUGCCUAAUACAUGCAAGUAGAACGCUGAAGAGAGGAGCUUGCUCUUCUUGGAUGAGUUGCGAACGGGUGAGUAACGCGUAGGUAACCUGCCUUGUAGCGGGGGAUAACUAUUGGAAACGAUAGCUAAUACCGCAUAACAAUGGAUGACACAUGUCAUUUAUUUGAAAGGGGCAAUUGCUCCACUACAAGAUGGACCUGCGUUGUAUUAGCUAGUAGGUGAGGUAAUGGCUCACCUAGGCGAUGAUACAUAGCCGACCUGAGAGGGUGAUCGGCCACACUGGGACUGAGACACGGCCCAGACUCCUACGGGAGGCAGCAGUAGGGAAUCUUCGGCAAUGGGGGCAACCCUGACCGAGCAACGCCGCGUGAGUGAAGAAGGUUUUCGGAUCGUAAAGCUCUGUUGUAAGUCAAGAACGGGUGUGAGAGUGGAAAGUUCACACUGUGACGGUAGCUUACCAGAAAGGGACGGCUAACUACGUGCCAGCAGCCGCGGUAAUACGUAGGUCCCGAGCGUUGUCCGGAUUUAUUGGGCGUAAAGCGAGCGCAGGCGGUUUGAUAAGUCUGAAGUUAAAGGCUGUGGCUCAACCAUAGUUCGCUUUGGAAACUGUCAAACUUGAGUGCAGAAGGGGAGAGUGGAAUUCCAUGUGUAGCGGUGAAAUGCGUAGAUAUAUGGAGGAACACCGGUGGCGAAAGCGGCUCUCUGGUCUGUAACUGACGCUGAGGCUCGAAAGCGUGGGGAGCGAACAGGAUUAGAUACCCUGGUAGUCCACGCCGUAAACGAUGAGUGCUAGGUGUUGGAUCCUUUCCGGGAUUCAGUGCCGCAGCUAACGCAUUAAGCACUCCGCCUGGGGAGUACGACCGCAAGGUUGAAACUCAAAGGAAUUGACGGGGGCCCGCACAAGCGGUGGAGCAUGUGGUUUAAUUCGAAGCAACGCGAAGAACCUUACCAGGUCUUGACAUCCCGAUGCUAUUUCUAGAGAUAGAAAGUUACUUCGGUACAUCGGUGACAGGUGGUGCAUGGUUGUCGUCAGCUCGUGUCGUGAGAUGUUGGGUUAAGUCCCGCAACGAGCGCAACCCCUAUUGUUAGUUGCCAUCAUUCAGUUGGGCACUCUAGCGAGACUGCCGGUAAUAAACCGGAGGAAGGUGGGGAUGACGUCAAAUCAUCAUGCCCCUUAUGACCUGGGCUACACACGUGCUACAAUGGUUGGUACAACGAGUUGCGAGUCGGUGACGGCGAGCUAAUCUCUUAAAGCCAAUCUCAGUUCGGAUUGUAGGCUGCAACUCGCCUACACGAAGUCGGAAUCGCUAGUAAUCGCGGAUCAGCACGCCGCGGUGAAUACGUUCCCGGGCCUUGUACACACCGCCCGUCACACCACGAGAGUUUGUAACACCCGAAGUCGGUGAGGUAACCUUUUGGAGCCAGCCGCCUAAGGUGGGACAGAUGAUUGGG
rnacentral:rRNA from 1 species